rnacentral:rRNA from 1 species
UAGGGAAUCUUCGGCAAUGGGGGGAACCCUGACCGAGCAACGCCGCGUGAGUGAAGAAGGUUUUCGGAUCGUAAAGCUCUGUUGUUAAGGAAGAACGAGUGUGAGAAUGGAAAGUUCAUACUGUGACGGUACUUAACCAGAAAGGGACGGCUAACUACGUUCCAGCAGCCGCGGUAAUACGUAGGUCCCGAGCGUUGUCCGGAUUUAUUGGGCGUAAAGCGAGCGCAGGCGGUUAGAUAAGUCUGAAGUUAAAGGCAGUGGCUCAACCAUUGUAGGCUUUGGAAACUGUUUAACUUGAGUGCAGAAGGGGAGAGUGGAAUUCCAUGUGUAGCGGUGAAAUGCGUAGAUAUAUGGAGGAACACCGGUGGCGAAAGCGGCUCUCUGGUCUGUAACUGACGCUGAGGCUCGAAAGCGUGGGGAGCGAACAGG